AAUAACAAACCUAAUAGAUAAUAUUUUAUUCUACAUCAUCAGCCGCACCCCAUUUUAUUUAACAAAAAACAAAUCACAGAUCUCUCUCUUUCACUCUCAAUUCUCAGGUGGUGGUUUGCAGUGAACCACGAAACAGACAGCCACGGGUUCGGGUGGUUCACGGCAGGGGGUGGGGUUAAUGGUUCGCGGUGAACCUCAUAUCUUGUUCGCUCCAUCUCCUUCGGGGCUCAAAUCUCCAGCAAUCUCUCUAGCUCUUCAGUUCUUUCUAUCCCCGACUUUAUUUCUCAUGCGGAUUCGGUGUGCACGACAUUGACAAUGCCAGUAGCACUGAAGUUUUUGUCGAGAAAUGGCAUGCCGAUUUCCCGGUGGUAGAGAUGGCGGAGGUGGUCAUGAUAGUUUUGGGUAUUGGAUUUCUCGGCUAGAGCUCAAGAGGGGUAUUCUUCAGGAAAAGAAGCUGAGUCGCUUGUUGAUGAGGAAAAUUAUCAAGAGGAAGUUUAUGAUAAUAAUAAUAAUAAGCAUAUUAUUUUUACUGAUCAAGUUGUGCAGAGAUUUCUUAUUUGUAAAACUUUUAUUAUAUUAAAAUAUUUUAAUCUGUUAUUAUUUUUUUAACUUGGAAUGUAAUAUUAAUGGAUUAUUAAUUUUUUUUUAUUUCUAUAUAAUUGUUGAUAUGUAUUGAAUCUCAAAUUGGUAUUUAUUAAUUAUGUGGUUGAAUCUAAAUUGGUAUUAUUAAUUAUAUUAAUUAUCAUAGUAAAUUUUAAAUUUGAAAAUAAUUUUAUA